AAAAAACAACCUUUGUGAAACAUAACACAACAAAGAAACAGACCCACCUACGGUUCUUGAACACCCACCAUUCACCCAAGCACCAAACAGCCACAAUGCCACCACCAAUCGAUAACUCAGUCUCAGGCUACUCCACUGAAGCAAGUCUAGUCGCAAGAUGUUGACCAGAAGCUGAGAACUGAUCUGGUCAGGUCUAGACCAGAAUCGCAACCUGAAGAUUUUUUAGCAUUUGAACCUUCUUCCUCCUCCUCCUCCUCCUACUACUA
rnacentral:misc_RNA from 1 species